CAACACACCAACGGAGCCCUCUGCUUCCCCCCGCCCGCAGGGACCUGAUGCCAGCCGCUUCAGGGAGCGGCGCGGGGCUCGAGGGGGGCAAUCCUGCGGCUGUAGUUUGCCCGACCCUGGCCUGGAGGCCUCUUCUGCAUCCCAUUAACCCAAUCUUCAUGCAAAGCACCCAGCAUCCUCACUUGAAGCUUGUGGCUUGGAAACCAAUACCUUCUUGCAAGGCCUCACGCGAGAACAAGCCCCUCCGCCCCCCACAUGAGAGGAAGUUGAAGGACAACAAGGAAAACGACAGAGAAAAUGAAGACCAUCAAUCACAGCGCUGAAUGGAAUACAUCCACCCCAUGACCUCAGCCAUGCAGUUCCCCCACCCCCACCUGUGAAUUAUGGAGACCGCAUCGCUCGGUGGGACAGGCUCAAUGCUCCAGCCUCAAGCUGAAAGCAGAGAUUUAUCCCUGUGGCGGAAUAGGGGGCAGAGGCCAGAAGAUAAGUCACAGAAAAGCCGCAGGAGCCUCUCUCAAGGUCCUCCAAGGUUGGCUCGUUAAACAGCAAGGAGAGGAGAAAAAAAUGCCCGCAGUGGCACAGCUCACAAAUAACCCUCCAGCUUUCAAAUAAAAGAAAAGCUGAAAGGGAGCCUGGCACCUGGGAUGGGCUCUGCAGCAAUGCCAGCUAAGUUCACCCAUGGAAACACCUGCUGCAAAGCGCCUGGGCCGCAGAACCUGUGAAACGGACAGCUCCCCGAGCACCCACCUCAUCAGGGAGCCCAGGAAAUGAACCCGGUCAGUGCUCAGAUGGGGGCUGUCACUUUCCAUCUGGUGCAGUGGCGGGACAGUCCCCAUCUUGCCCUGCCUGCUGUAGUACUGGCGGAAGGGAAGAGAGAGGGAAGCAGCCCUUCAAACUCCAGCCAGGGGGCAGACGCAAAGGGAGGGCAGGUGGAAUCCAAACACCACGCACAGUACUGCCUCUGCCAUCUCAGAGGAGAUGCUGGGAGAGCAGCUCCCUUCUUCCCCAGAGCUGCACGGCUCACUCUCCUGCCCCCAGCUUUGCAAGGGCAAAGGGCAGGGUAAUGGGAGCAGGUGUUGCCCUGGGUGGAAACUGUUCAUCAUGCACAGUACCGGCUGUUCAGCAGGCCCAGGAGAAGGCAGAGCUCACUGACUGUGGCACAGAAGGCAGCAUCCCUCCCUCGGUGGUCAUGCCCACCCCUCCUUCCCCAGAAGACCCUGACACCGCUGCCAGAGUAGAACCCCCACCCCCAGGAAUAGGCAGGGAUCAGUUCUGUGGGAUUCACCCCCCACGGUCCAUAACAGGAGUAGGAGCAGUACGGCUGAAGCCUGUGCUGCACCCCAAUCCCUAACCAACGUACCACGCGGGGGGCUGGUGAGAUUCUUCCCUUCCUCCUCCCGCAGCAGCUGAGCUGUUGGUCUGGGCUGAGGCACCUCCCAGGAGACUGGCGCAGCCCUGAAGGCCAGCGUGUGGCACAACCCCGGCUCAAUAAAUAACCCUCGGCCUGGGAACCGGAAGUAGCCUCAGGCCGUGGCGGUUCCAUAUGGCCAGAGCGAAGCGCCGCAGCCCCUAGUGCCGGUCCCAGCCCAGCUCCUGGACAGAGGCAGUGGGACACGGAAGUGCACAAAACUCGCUCUCCACGUAGGGGCAGCUUUGCUCUUUGUGUCUUUCUCCAUCCCCAACUGCCAGGCUCCGUGCCCUCCCUGCCCCAGCUAGGGUGGGGUCUGGCUUGGGAAGCAGCAUAGCGGGUGGUGUUGGAAGCUGCUGGCGGACCGCCCCAGGCUGCCUGCCCCAUGCACUCUCCCAUGUAUCAACAGGCCCCCCAGACCCAUUCCACACACGCACACCCAGAAACCCAAAGAAAGAAUCACCACCCUUCCCACAAGGCAACAAAACAGAGAUGGGGUGCUGAGGCCUCAAGGCUCUUCCCCACCCCCAGGAGCCAAGGAGAGAAGGCCCCGGACCUCUAAGGAGCCCGGAAGGACGAGCCAGAGGCACAGGCCAAAUGAGAACAGGGAUACUCCAUCAGGAGCGGAGGGGAGCCUGGACAGAGAUGCUGGCACUCGGGCUGGGGGUGGUAGGUCAGACACCAGAGCCACUGGAAAGAGCCUGCUCAGAUGGUGACUCCAACAGAAGAUGGCCAGACAGCUCGGCCACCCGAGGCCCCACUCCUCCAGCUACCACCAAACUGGGAGCAGUUCUAGAAUUCCCGCCCCCCAGGGCAGCAGCACAGAGCCUGCGAUAGCAAAGGCAAGGCAGACACCAUCCUGUUACCCCAGCGGCAUGGCUCAUCGGCUGCCAUGACAGUCACAGCAGAUUCCCAUCAGCCACUCUAGUAACAGCUGUUUACAAAGUCGCCAGCAAGUAAAAUCCAUCUGCCCAGUCCCAGAGAGAGCAUUGUCUUGUCUGGCCUGCACUCCUCACCAGCCGGGGAAGGAAACAAUGGGCAGUACCUGCUGUAAGAGCAUCCUUCUUCAGAGGGGUUAAAGCAGUUUACACACAGCUGGCCCCCCACUGAAAGACUGGGGAGUGCAGGGAGAGGGGAAGUGACUGAGCUGAAGUUAUAGUCACUGGCAGAGCUUGGAAUGGAACCCAGGAAUCCUGGUUCUCUGUUCCCUGUUCUGACCAUUAGUUAACACUGCCUCCAGCCAGCCUCCCCCUGCUACAUGCACUGGUUAUUCACCAACCCGACAGGCUGCUCUUUCUCUCCUCAUAGCUUGCUCCAGCCCUACAGUGGUUUAAUGUGAGAACAAAGCAGCAAAUUCAUGUAUUUCUUCUCAGUUGUUCAAAUCCCAGAACGUCCCCUGCCCUGUGACCCCACUGCACAAUUCAGUCCCCAGGUCUCUUCACCUGAACAGGGACUUGCUCCUGGAGGGAGCUGUGCCCACGGGGCCCUGCAGACAGGAGGGAGGCAGCAGGGAAGCCCCACUGGGCAGAGGGGUCAUGCCAAGCCUGUCAGUGGAGGGAACGGCUCUAUCUUGAUCCUGAAGCCGGUCUCUGCUUUACAAUAACUAAUUAGCCAGGGUGAACGGUUAUGACAGGAACUCCCAACCCUGCUCCCCCACAUAGCCCUUUCCAAGCCCUCACUAAUUAAAAACCAUCUCCUGCUCAUCAUACGCUGAGCUCAGUCACCCAUCCCUGCCUGGCAGCAUCAGAAUCCACCACUGUCACUGAACUUGGGGCAGAUGCACCAAACAGCACCAGUCCUCUCCCGAAUGUGCUAUCACCAACUGAAUAACCCACACGAGCUCUGCCCAGGCCAUAACACACGGGGGGUUGGACUGAAAGACGCAAACACAGACCCUGGAAUCCCCACUCCUGGAUUUAGCACCAGGGAACCUGGAUUCCUGCCACGCCAUCCUAACAAAACUCACCACUCAGCACAAGAACACUGGGCAGAGGAGGCUGCUGCCCUCCCGGGGAUGAAGACCCUCAUGAAGUUCUCCAGCACUGCAAGGCACAAAGCCAGCUCCACUGCAGAACACAUGACACACAACCCAGAGAAAGAACAAACCUGGGAAGUAACUUGGUACUAACAACAAAAAGCUCUGUCCUGCCCAGACUCACUGGAAUUCCCCUUCACCUAACUACACCCCCUCCUUAGUCUGCCUACUCCUGAUUAACAUGCACAUCACCAAAGCUCACUUCCCGCCCCACACACACUCCAUGCCUCUCAUCCAGCCCCCUCCAUCAGAUCCACCUUUGAAGUCAAUUUGUCAUGGCCCAAUUUUCUAAAUCACUCUGCAGAGCCCAUUUGCUGCUAUCCCUUAAAUUAAUCGGUUUGUGGCUCCUCUUCCCUCUCCCUCUGAUUAAUUUUAAGUUACAAGAAACUAGCUCUGAGUUCAGAGUUAGAGGGUUUUUUGAUCACACAUCAAGCUUUUCUUGUCAAUAUCUCACACAGCUGCUGUUAAUCGCCAAGAAAAUCACAAACCCAUAUGCUGGGCUCUGAGCUCACAGACAGCAUCGGGGUAAGAAGGUUCCAUGCACAUCACAUACAGCAACUGCAGGGUUAGGGAGCGCUGGAACCCCGUGCUGUAGCAGGACACCUGGCACAGAACCGCUCUCCCAGACAUUCUGCUAGCUGAUACAUAAGGGGGAGAACCCC